UAUCUAAAAAAAAUCUUUAGAUUUCAGUGUAAAUCUAUUAGAUAAUUGAGAAAAGGAUAAUAAGGUCUCCCCAUCAAAAAGUUGAUUAAUUAUCUUUAAACCAUUCUUUUCCCAUCUGUUGAAGACAUUAUCCAUAGUAGAAGGAAGAAAUUCUGGAUUAUCUUUAAAUGGCAGGACUUUCAGAGACACUCCAGGAAAUGAAUUCUGUUCAAUACUAACCCAGUCUGCUUCUUUAUCAACACCAAGCCAAGCUGUGAUAGUCCUCAACUGAGCAGCCCAUUAACAGUACUUAAAAUUGUGAAGGUUCAGCCCCCCCUUAUCUUUAUUUGACAUUAGUAUUUUAAGUCUUACUCUUGGUCUUUUAUUUUGCCAAAUGAAUUUUGAAAUCAAUUUUUCUAAUUUAUUAAAUGCUGUGACUGGGACCCAAACAGGAAGGGAUUGAAAUAGAAAGAGGAGUCUUGGCAGUAUGUUCAUUUUCACUGUUUCUAUUCUACCAAACAUAAAGAGAGGUAGUUUUUUCAAUCUAACUACGUUUUAUAAUUUCAAAAAGCCGUGUCUAAUUUGCUGUGUAUAAACGUGAUGCUUCAAUCAUAAGGAUGACCCCACGGUAUCUAAAAUUCUUAUAGACCAUCGAAAAGAUAUAUCCUUGUCUAGUUGUGAUGGCCAGUGUCCUGAUAAGAAUGAAUGACCAUUAACACAAACUCUUGAUUUAAGAUUCUUAUAAAAAAACAAAACAUUACCCAUUUAACAAAAGUGUCAUUAAAUCCCAUGUAAUUUAGAGUCUGCUCCAAGAACACCCAGUCCACCCUAUCAAAUACUUUUUCAGCAUCUAAGCUCAGAAGCAUUGAGGGUGUUUUGCUCUUUUCCAAUCUGCUGUAAAUUGAAUGUUUUUCUUAUAUAAUUUAUUGCAUGUCUUUCAUUGUUAAAUCCGGUCUGAUCUGGUUUAAUUAAGUUUUUAAUAUGUUUUUGAAUUCUAAUUGCUAAUAUUGAAGUUAAAAUUUUCAUAUCUUGACAUAGUAAGCUCAUUGGUCUGUAUGCCAUACAUUGUGUAGAGUCCUUGCCACUUUUUUGAAGUACUGUAAUGAUCGUAUUAGACCAUGAAUGGGGUGCAUCUUCAUUCUGCAAUACAUAAUUAUAUACCUUGCAUAGAUUUGGUGCCAAUUCAUUUGUAAAUGCCUUAUAAAAUCGUCUACCCCUGGUGAAUUAUUAUUUUUUAAAUGUAUUAUAAUUUCUAUUAUUUCUUCUUCUGUAAUAGGGGAUAUCAUUUAUUUUGCCUCUGCUUCUGUUAAUUUAUUUAAGCCAAUUAUUUGCAAAAAAUCUUUAACUUUUUCUUUCUUAUUUACAAGAUUCUGACCCUCAUAUAAUUCUUUGUAGUAAUCUCCGAAUGCAUUUAUUAUGUUCUUUAGUUGAGUAAGCAUUAUUGAUGUGUCUGGGUGUUUGAUUUUUGGAACAGCUCUGUUUGCUUGAGACUUAUGUAACUGAAAAGCUAAAAGCCUGCUUGCUUUAUUACUCAUCUCAGAGUAUUUUCUGCUUACAAAUCUAAGUGCCCCCUCUGCUUUAUAUUUAAGUCAUCUAAUUUCUUUUUUUAAGCAUUCCAAAAUUUGAAUUUUACCUGUUUGUUUAUGGUAUCCUAGAUGUUAUUUCUAUUAUUUUACCUCUUAUUACUGCUUUGGCCUCUUCCCACAAAAUAGAAGGAGUAACCAACCCAUUAUCAUUAAUAUCAAAAUAUUUAAUUAACUGUUCUCUUACUUUGGCCUUACAACCAUUUAGCACUGACACGUUUAAUCUGCAGUAUUUAAACUGUUUACCUUGUCCAAUGUUAAGUUUUAACCUAACUGGCACAUGAUCAGAUAUAGUUAUCUCGUUAUCUAUCUAUUUGUCAUUUUUUGACAUUAUGUAAAUCUGUUCUAGAAGUACAAAAAAGGUCUAUUCUAGAGUAACUGCCAUGCACAUGUGACAUAAAAGUAAAGUCCUUCUCUUUGGGGUGUAGGUGUCUCCACACAUCUACUAAUCCUAAUUCUCUAAUUAUUCCUAAAAUAACUUUUACUUUUUUGCCUGUGGUCCUCUUUCUGCUGGUAGCCUAACUAUUUUACUAUCUAGUACACAAUUAAAGUCUCCACUUAUUAAAUUUAUUCCCUCACCUGUCUGUACUAAUAGAGAGAAAACAUUCUUGACAAACUGUGUAUGGUCUUCAUUGGGUGCAUAAAGGUUCAGAAUAGUAAUUUUUUUGCCUGCAAUUGUUCCAACUACCAUGACAUAUCUUCCUUCUUUGUCAUUUGCUCCAAAUUAAAGAAGACUGACUUGGCAAACAUGAUUGCUACACCUCUCUUCUUCCCUUUAGAAAAUGAGGCAUUAUAAACCAGGUCCACCCACUCACUUCUAAGUUUUAAAUGCUCCACAUCCGAUAGGUGUGUCUCUUGAAGAAGUGCGCUAGAACAUCGAAUAUUUUUAAGCUGAUUAAAUAUUUUCUUUCUUUUAA